UUAAUACCGCAUGUGGCCAGGAAGGACAUCCUUCCACAGCCAAAGUCGCAAGACGCUUCCUGAUGAGCUCGCGGCCUAUCAGCUAGUUGGUGAGGUAACGGCUCACCAAGGGCGAUGACGGGUAGCUGGUCUGAGAGGACGACCAGCCACACUGGAACUGAGACACGGUCCAGACACCUACGGGUGGCAGCAGUCGAGAAUUUUUCACAAUGGGGGAAACCCUGAUGGAGCGACGCCGCGUGGAGGACGAAGGUCUUCGGAUUGUAAACUCCUGUCAUGCGGGAACAAGAAAGUGAUAGUACCGCAAGAGGAAGAGACGGCUAACUCUGUG
rnacentral:rRNA from 1 species